rnacentral:rRNA from 1 species
CCUACGGGUGGCAGCAGUGGGGGAUAUUGCACAAUGGGGGGAACCCUGAUGCAGCGACGCCGCGUGGGUGAAGAAGCGCCUCGGCGCGUAAAGCCCUGUCAGCAGGGAAGAAAAUGACGGUAACUGAAGAAGAAGCCCCGGCUAACUACGUACCAGCAGCCGCGGGAAUCCGAAGGGGGCAAGCGUUAUCCGGAUUUACAGGGAGUAAAGGGGGGGCAUACGGCGAGGCAAGCCAGGAUGGAACGCCCGGGGCCCAACCCCGGGACUGCGCUUGGAACUGCGUGGCGGGAGUGCAGGAGGGGCAGGAGGAAUUCCUGGUGUAGCGGUGAAAUGCGUAGAUAUCAGGAGGAACACCGGUGGCGAAGGCGGCCUGCUGGAUUGCAACUGACGUUGAGGCCCGAAAGCGUGGGGAGCAAACAGGAUUAGAUACCCUAGUAGUC